CCCUCUCACUCUUCCACGUCUAACUCUCAAGGUCACCGCGCCGUCGUCGCGCGCAUGACACUCACCCGAGGGGAACAGUCGUCCCCGGAGGCAGAAUCAUCCACCAUCCUGCUCCCCUCUCCGCCGCUCUGGCUCUUUGGCUCUGCAACUACAUGUUUCUCUACCUCUAACUAUCUGCGACAGUGUAACUGCAUCUCUUCCUCUCUGGUCUCUGGUUCGCUGUUGCUCUUCUUCUCGCCUUCGCCGCCAGUUCAGUUAUUAUAGCAGAUAAAUCAUCAAAAAACAACUGAUAUUGUUUAGAUAUUUAAAGCAACAUGUUGUGCAACAACUAGAAAAGAGAGAAGCACAAGUAAUUGAGAAGGAACAACAGCAGGCAACGGUGGUGGCACCACGAGAGAAAAAGGAACCACCGGCUACUGUGUUGGCAGAAUCUGUGGAAACGGAAACAGAGCAGGCACUAGUGGUGAUAACUGAUAAGAAUAGAGGAAUGGAACCACAUCAGACAUUAGUAGUUAGUGGGAAAAAAACUAAGUGGAAAAUAAUGGUGUGCUUGCUUAUCUACUGCAUUAGCUAAACAAAAAUAAUUAAGCAGCACUUUCUUGAUUAUCCCUGACCCUAUUAUGUAGUCAAUUCGAUGCACAAAUAGAAUUGAAGUUAGUCCACAAGUUGGAACAUGAAGCCAUAUUUUUUUUCCC